rnacentral:rRNA from 1 species
AACGAACGCUGGCGGCAUGCCUAACACAUGCAAGUCGAACGAGACCUUCGGGUCUAGUGGCGCACGGGUGCGUAACGCGUGGGAACCUGCCCUUAGGUUCGGAAUAACUCCCCGAAAGGGGUGCUAAUACCGGAUAAUGUCUUCGGACCAAAGAUUUAUCGCCUUUGGAUGGGCCCGCGUUGGAUUAGCUAGUUGGUAGGGUAAAAGCCUACCAAGGCGACGAUCCAGGGCUGGUCUGAGAGGAUGAUCAGCCACACUGGGACUGAGACACGGCCCAGACCCGGAGGGAGGAGGGGGGGAGGUAGUAUAAGAGGCGGGAGGAAGAUCGAACCACGCAGCGCGGGGUAAGAAGGCAGGCCUUUGGGAUUGCAAUGUCGUUUGCCCCGGAGUGUGAGUGACGGUACGGGGAAAAGAAGCCCCGGCUAACCCCGUG